GCGGUAAGGCCCUUCGGGGUACACGAGCGGCGAACGGGUGAGUAACACGUGAGCAACCUGCCCCCGACUCCGGGAUAAGCGGUGGAAACGCCGUCUAAUACCGGAUACGACCGGCCACCUCAUGGCGGCCGGUGGAAAGUUUUUCGGUUGGGGAUGGGCUCGCGGCCUAUCAGCUUGUUGGUGGGGUAAAGGCCUACCAAGGCGAUUACGGGUAGCCGGCCUGAGAGGGCGACCGGCCACACUGGGACUGAGACACGGCCCAGACUCCUGCGGGAGGCAGCAGUGGGGAAUAUUGCGCAAUGGGCGAAAGCCUGACGCAGCGACGCCGCGUGGGGGAUGACGGCCUUCGGGUUGUAAACCUCUUUUACCACCAACGCAGGCUCCCAGUUCUCUGGGGGUUGACGGUAGGUGGGGAAUAAGGACCGGCUAACUACGUGCCAGCAGCCGCGGUAAUACGUAGGGUCCGAGCGUUGUCCGGAAUUAUUGGGCGUAAAGAGCUCGUAGGCGGCGUGUCGCGUCUGCUGUGAAAGACCGGGGCUUAACCCCGGUUCUGCAGUGGAUACGGGCAUGCUAGAGGUAGGUAGGGGAGACUGGAAUUCCUGGUGUAGCGGUGAUGUGCGCAGAUAUCACGAGGAACACCGGUGGCGAAAGCGGGUCUCUGGGCCUUACCUGACGCUGAGGAGCGAAAGCAUGGGGAGCGAACAGGAUUAGAUACCCUGGUAGUCCAUGCCGUAAACGUUGGGCGCUAGGUGUGGGGACUUUCCACGGUU
rnacentral:rRNA from 1 species